UGACGCCGUCACCAGCUGGACCAUCCGCGGCCCUGGACCAUCCAGCGACGGCCGUGACGCCGUCACCAGCUGGACCAUCCGCGGCACUGGACCAUCCAGCGACGGCCGUGGCGUCGACUCUGCCAGUGCCGGAGAGGUCGGCGACGUCACCUGCGCCGCUGGUGUCAACACCGCAUGGACGCCAGCUGCGAGCUGGUAAACGGCGGUGGAGUGGAAGCAGAGCGCGCAAGCCACCAGCCAGCUGACUCAGAGCCCAGGGGGCGUUCGCCACCAACAUCCGCACGGCGCAGCUGCAGAGGUGAUUUCUGCCAUGGAGCAGCAUCCGCGGCUCCAUGACAUCAUCCUUCCAUCAUUCUCCAUCAUCAUUUCCGGAGCUCACCCGACGGCGGAGCUGGCGACGCCCGCGCCCCGCCUGGCCGUCCAGCCUGCGCGCUCCGCCGCGCGCCGCGGGCCCGGCUCGCCGAGACGUCCGGCUUAGGUCGGCGUUUGAGGCGCGGCGGGGGGCAACGUCUCUGUGCCCUGCUCCGGGUCCCCGCCGCCUGCGGUCUCUUCUGCUGCCGCCACUGAGGGGAACGGCUCUUCUUUGAAGACAUCAUCGGUCGACGGUGAUGCUGGCGGGCCGGUGGCGGCGUGCCCCGUCGGCAGCGCGCCUGGGGAGGACGCUGGUGACGACGAAUCUUCAUCGCCGUCGGCACCGGUCGCGAGCGAGUCGCUGUUUAGUUGGCCUGCUACUGUGCCAAAAAGUGCGACUGUGGCCAGACUGGUAUACGAUUUGUCAGUGCUUACGCCCCUCUUGCCGUGCCGGCCGUGCUCUUUGCCGUCUAUUGGGAUGCGUUAGAGUUAUCGUUUUGGGGUUUAUACCGGUAUCAAGAUUGAUUUAAAAGAUGGAUUUCAUCACAUUUCUCGCGCACGUUCCACACGUCCUUUUGGUGUUUUGUAUGAUGGUAAAACGUGCUUAUACCUUUUCUCUGUUACCAAUGGGCCCUAUUAGGUACUGCAUCUCCUGCAUUAUUAGGUAGAGAUGCAGUACCAUUAUUAGGUACUGCAUUAUUAGGUACUGAAGGAGAUGCAGUUAGGUACUGCAUCUCCUUCGGAGAUGCAGUACCUAACAGAUGCUUUCAGUGAACUUGUAGAGUCGAGAUUUAACGUCAGGUGUUUGGCGUAUUUAGAUGAUUUUCUUUUCAUGUCCAAGGACGCUGAAUGGUAUCGCUGCGUUUCUGACUAGUGUUGGGUUGUGUAUUAAUUUCAAUAAAUUAGUUCUCGUUCCGUU